rnacentral:ncRNA from 1 species
CGAUAUUCCGGAGAACUCCGCAAAGGCGGAUACCGAAGGUGCAAGGCGUAAUGCUAAUCUCUCAGGUCAAAGGACGGAAA